AUUGAACGCUGGCGGCAGGCCUAACACAUGCAAGUCGAGCGGAUGAAGAGAGCUUGCUCUCUGAUUUAGUGGCGGACGGGUGAGUAAUGCCUAGGAAUCUGCCUGGUAGUGGGGGAUAACGUUCCGAAAGGAACGCUAAUACCGCAUACGUCCUACGGGAGAAAGCAGGGGACCUUCGGGCCUUGCGCUAUCAGAUGAGCCUAGGUCGGAUUAGCUAGUUGGUGAGGUAAUGGCUCACCAAGGCUACGAUCAGUAACUGGUUUUAGAGGAUGAUCAGUCCAACGGGAACUGAGACACGGUCCAGACUCCUACGGGAGGCAGCAGUGGGGAAUAUUGGACAAUGGGCGAAAGCCUGAUCCAGCCAUGCCGCGUGUGUGAAGAAGGUCUUCGGAUUGUAAAGCACUUUAAGUUGGGAGGAAGGGCAGUAAGUUUAUACCUUGCUGUUUUGACGUUACCGAUAGAAUAAGCACCGGCUAACUUCGUGCCAGCAGCCGCCGCAGUAA
rnacentral:rRNA from 1 species